GAAACAUCUGCAGAAACGAAUUCAAACCCUGGAACUCUCCUAGCUGAGGAGGUGAAAUUACGGAGUUGCAAUUUCAUUAUCCAGAUUAAAUCCCUAAUGCUCGGUUGAUGGAUUGUCAAGCAGCUUAUAUGGGCAAACAGUGGUUGGAAAAUGGUCCAACACCAAACAAGUUCCUUUUGAUGCAGGUAAAUAUCUCCAAUACAAAUACCCCAAAUCCAAAUAUUAGUAUGAUAUCUAAUAUGGUGCAAAAAGGAGGUGAAUUUAAUAGUGAGAACUCCACUAGAAGUAAUUAAUUUCUAGUUAUAUAUCAGGAUUUCUAUAGAGACAAUUUCUGGUAACUUAGUCAAACACAUUUGCCAAUUAAAAAUGAAAGAUUUGGAGACGUAAGAUAUCUUUUUCUUCUUCCUAUCUUUCUCCCACACUAGAGAGAGAGAGAGAGAGAGAUAAUACCAAUAAUAAAGGGAGGAAAAGAAAAAGAUGGAGUUGGCUGAUGUGAAAGAAAUGAUUAAAUACCAAUUACCCACUUGAGGCACAAUACCCCGUCAGCAUAUCUUAUCUAUCUUUCAGAAAAUAUGCUUGUAUCCCAUCAUUUUUACUAAGUAACCUCUAUGUUGCACUCAUUUCAUAUUAUUUUGCAGAAAAAACAGAAAUAUAAUAGCUGUAAGAGGCUUUGGAAGAGUUAAAUUGGGCAGGAGAAUCCAAUACAUAGAGACAGUGUCCUAAACCAACGGUCAGGGUAUUCCACGGGGGGUGCUGGAUUUAACAUCUGACUUUGCCCCUUUUUAGAAUCAAAUACAAUUUUUUUUUUUACUAAAUGUGAAUAGAGGUUGGGCAGACUGGGAAAGUGCAGGGUGCACGAUGAUCUUCCCUUGCUGGGCCCUAGGUUACAAGCCCGCGUGGGGGUGUUGGGUACACCAACUCACCCCCCCCCCCCCCCCCCCUUCCCCCAAGUGCAUGGCUCCACAGCACUUUAACCACAUGUGUCGACCACACGUCGGUGCUUUUUGUUACAUAAAAAAUCAAAGUAGAGAUUAGAGAUUGGAUGUAUAAAAGAAUAAUAUACGUUUUAGUGAAAUUCUUAAAAUGCUGGUUCCUUUACUAAAUGAUGGUGAUUGGACAUGGAAAUUUAAGAGUAGAGAAAUUAGUAGAUCUUUCUGAUUAUUUGAUAGGGCCAGAGGGUUCAGGUGCUCUAGUCUAUGAUGGGGUUCUCAAAUUUGUGGUACUGUCAUUUGUUACCAUAUGCAAGCCAUUUGUGCACCCCACUCAAGUAACCUAUGCUAAAGUUUUUCUUUCAGGUAUUCAAAGCAUUUCAUUUCUUUACAACAAUCAUGUGUUGAUCCCAAUCAGUUUUUGUCUCAACUUGCAGCUGCCCUUAGGCUUAGCCUUAGUUUACUCUCUCUCUCUCCCCCUAAUUUUGCGGGUAAUGGAUGUUUUGAAGUAAUUGUAUAAGCUUUGUACAUUAUACAUAUCAUACUAUGGUGUCUAAUAAGUUUUGUAGUGUAUAUACGAGUGUGAGGAUUACAGCUAAUUAACUUAUAACUUUUGUACGUCUCAAAAAAAAAAAAACUUGUAACUUUUGUAGUGUAUAUAUGGUAGUUUGCUAGUUAGUGUAAUACAUUUAUAAAUAUUCUUUUGGUAAUUACUA